UAGAUCUGCAUUAUCAUAAUUAUGACGUGACUGCUUGCAGGCAAAGGAAUAAUUAUGAUAAUGCAGAUCGUACCUGCGAAGCAGGAACUUAACCGACAUGAGGAAAAUAGUCUGCGAAGCAGACGGUAGAGUGCGAAGCACGGAUUUUCCGAAUUA
rnacentral:misc_RNA from 1 species